GCAACAUUCGGAUCGUCGGUCCACCGAGCUAUAUCACCCGCUCGGCGAAAGAUAUCCUCUUAAUCGU
rnacentral:pre_miRNA from 1 species